UAGGCCCACCUCAGACCUGCUAGGUCAGAUCUCUGAGCGGGGUGGCGCCCAGGAAUCUGCAUUUUAGC
rnacentral:miRNA from 1 species